GUGAUGGACCUGGUCAGCCUCAACCUAGAAUGGCAUUUACUAGUGAUGCUUUGUUAAUACGUGGAUGUGGAAGAACGGAUUUUUAGGGUGGAAGUUCUAAGCAGCUAUAUGAAUCGGUCCACUCACAGGCAAGAACAUACAAUUCUACCAAUUGAAAGACGAAGAACUCAUAUGCAUCAUGUUCUUGAUUUUUCUUUAAAAUGCAACUGAAUAUCUUUUGGUUAUCAUCUGUCUAGAUCUUUACAUUGCCAAAGGACACGUUCAUCUAUCAUGUUCAUGAUUACAAAGGUUUCACGCUUAGCAGACUUUUUUUGGGCAAUUUACAUACCGAAUGUAGGUUCAACCAAUGGUUUUCAGGUUAGCACUGUGGGAGAAGAGAUGCUAUAUAACCCUCACCUCAGAAAAGAUGAGGGACGUUAAUAUCAUUCUUUAUGCUAGAGUUGGAAAAUAUGUGCAUAACUAGGCUACUGCCCGCGUGAACUAUUUACUAAAUAAUUAUUUGUGGCAGAGUCUGAUAAAGAACAUUGUAAUGUACUCAAGAGGGCUUUAAAUAUAAGUUAAAAAAUGCUGCUGCUUAAUAUUCACUUGCAGUCGUUGAAGAAGAGAACGCGAUUUUGAUGGAGUUUGAUAAAGAACUAAAGUGCGAAAAACUGAGGUCUCUGCUCGGUGUAAUAAUGUCGGUUCUUGAUAUAUGUUAAUCAAAUGCUGAGAAGAAAGUGGCUGAUAAGGAAUUGACGAACGGUUCUAGCAAUGAUACAAGCAAAUCCAGGUCAUGGACGCGAGGAUCCUAUGACCCGGUUUAUCACCCACGUUAUAAUUUAAAAAAAAACACGAUUCUUAUUGAUUUGGUGUUCACUAUCCCAUUCACAGGUUCUUUUUUCCAAUCGCCUCCUGAUGUAUUGCAAACUACUAAUAGCACAUCACCUCCAAACCAAGUUCGUUGUUUAUCGAUUUCUAAAAUGAUUAUGGUCGGUUCUUAUUGGUUUUGUUUGGGUUUUAUUCUCGAUUUUAAAUCCGUCAGUUAAUGGAGUCUUAGUUGUUCUGUCGGUUCUAUUUUCCUUUAAAGAUUUUUUGUGUGUGUGUGUAUGGGGGGGGUGAUGUUUGAUUUGCAUAGAUCUGAAGUAAAAGAUGUCUCUCUUUCAUAAUCUUGAUUCUUGAAGUUGCCAUGUACAAGCCCUGGGUGGAGGAAAAUAAAACUUAGAUUGUAAGUGUGCCUUUUAAAAGGGGGGGGGGAGGGUUGUAAAUGUGUGGCUGCUUCUCCAGCUUAACAUGAUUGGUAAUUACACAUUUGGUUAGCGGUUUGUGAGCUCUAUCAACAAACACAUAUAUAUUGACCGGUGAUGAUUGUUCAGGGACAUCAAUUCGCAUGAGUAAUGGUGUUCAUACCACACACCCAAACAGUCUUUGUUAAGCUCUAACAACUUAUUUUAUUCAUUAAUUUUUUUUGCAUAAGGGGGUGCUCGAAUUGUUUAUUUAAAGAGGAAAAGUGGAAGCGCAAUCUCUGAAAAUGAAAACAACAUUGUGACAAAGUCUGAUAAAGAACACUGGAGUGUAGUCAAGACUGUUUUGGAUACAUGUGAAUGGAAUGCUGAGAAGAAAGUGGUUGAUAAGAAGAGGAAUACACAUGAAUGGAAUGUGGAGAAGAAAAUGGUUAAUAAGAAGAGGAAUACACAUGAAUGGGAUAGAAGCUCAAUCGUUGUAGUUGAAAACAACAUUGUGACGGAGUCUGAUAAAGGUAAUAUGUACAUAUCGAUGAUUAGCAAGAUGUACAUAUCGAUGAUUAGCAAGAUGUGCCUACGGUAAGAACAUUAAUCAUAGAGACUAGCUUGGUGAAAAGACUGAAUGGACUAUUAUUCAAACUUAAGUCGCAAUAAGGAGAUAGAAGGAAAGGAAAUGUAAGCCCGAUACACAUUUUUUGUAUGCUUAUGACAUUGAUAUUUAGUUAUAGCGGUUGUGUUAACUGAUCAACAUUAGUAGCACAUUUUAUAUUUCAUCAACUUUAAAAUACUUUAGUUGUAAUUAUUAAAGUUACUUCAGUUGAAUAUUUGAUGUUAACAAAGGUGUUCGUGAUUC